AUAUUUCACUUUGGUAGUACACUCACAAAAAUUGGAACAAUACAGAGAAGAUUAGCUUGAGCUCCUUUGCAAGGAUGACAUGCAGAUUCAUGAAGGGUGACAAAAUUUU